rnacentral:rRNA from 1 species
UGGGGGAGUAUUGCACAAUGGGGAAAGACCCUGAUGCAGCAACGCCGCGUGAAGGAAGAAGGUCUUCGGAUUGUAAACUUCUGUCCUCAGGGAAGAUAAUGACGGUACCUGAGGAGGAAGCUCCGGCUAACUACGUGCCAGCAGCCGCGGUAAUACGUAGGGAGCGAGCGUUGUCCGGAUUUACUGGGUGUAAAGGGUGCGUAGGCGGAUCUGCAAGUCAGUAGUGAAAUCCCAGGGCUUAACCCUGGAACUGCUAUUGAAACUGUGGGUCUUGAGUGAGGUAGAGGCAGGCGGAAUUCCCGGUGUAGCGGUGAAAUGCGUAGAGAUCGGGAGGAACACCAGUGGCGAAGGCGGCCUGCUGGGCCUUAACUGACGCUGAGGCACGAAAGCAUGGGUAGCAAACAGGAUUAGAUACCC